UACAGAGGUCUCAAGCGUUGUUCGGACUCAUUGGGCGUAAAGGGCGCGUAGGCGGCGGGGUCAGUCGGGUGUGAAAUCUUGGGGCUUAACCCCGAAACGGCACUCGAAACUGCCCGGCUGGAGGGCCGGAGAGGAGAUCGGAAUUCACGGUGUAGCAGUGAAAUGCGUAGAGAUCGUGAGGAAGACCCGUGGCGAAGGCGGAUCUCUGGACGGCUAACUGACGCUGAGGCGCGAAGGCCAGGGGAGCAAACAGG
rnacentral:rRNA from 1 species